CAGUCGUACCGGCGGAUAAUCAGCCUUUCGGGUGCGAUUCUGUGGGGCGUGAGGAGCUUAACCGCCUUCAUGUUUUGCAUAUUCGUGCACAUUUGGUGUACUUGUCCGUGUGGUGGGUUAACAUCAAUUUCGGUCGUCAUAAAAUGAUUGGAGGAAUGUGGCCGGUUCGCCGGUGUUAAGCCCUGGACUUGAUACGGCUCUGGGGACAGAGGACCGCAGCGCGCCUUCUUGGCAUUGGCUUCGGCCUUUUUCCGCGCUAAGGAUUCUGGCUUAAUGGCUUUAAGCGACCCGUCUUGAAACACGGACCAAGGAGUCUAACAUAUAUGCGAGUGUU
rnacentral:rRNA from 1 species